ensembl:lncRNA
ACCGACCAGGGUACCUCUUCCAUGUCUCGGCUGAUGGCGGACCUUUGCCAGCUCUGGACCUCCGUUUACCAUCCCCAGACAGACUGCCUGGUCGAGCGCUUUAACCAAACAUUGAAAAGGAUGUUGAAGCGAGUUGUGGCAGAGGACCGGCGCAACUGGGAUCUCCUCAUCCCCUAUGUGCUGUUCGGAGUGCGUGAGGUCCCCCAAGCAUCCACGGGAUUCACCCCCUUUGAACUCCUCUUCGGCAGGCAACACCGCGGACUCCUGGACGUCGCCAGGGACACCUGGGAACGGCAGAGCCCAAGCACACAAUGCACAGUGAUAGAAUAUGUCCAGGAGAUGUGAACCCGGAUAGAUCGGGUCAUGCCCCGGGUGAAAGAGCAUCUGGAAGAGGCCAAACAUGCUCAAUGCCCCCUGUACGACCGGCCCGCUCAACCUCGGACUUUCCUCCCGGGGGAUAGAGUGCUGGUUCCUCGCCUCCUGGCAGGGCCCAUAUACCGUUGCUUAAAGUACUCAUUCAUAUCAACUCAAAGUAGUUACAGUACAUCAAUAAUCUCCAAUAAGACCCUGUGGUUCAUCCGGUUGAGGGAACAUAAUAAAUUGAAGUGCUGAUUCACAAAGGGACUGGCCGGUUGUAUGUGAUUCAUUCGCAACCCACAUCUGCCCACGCCUCAAGAUCCCAAUGACAAAAGAUAUGGUUCUUAUAUUACAACGCAUUUCUAUUUUGUGUCCAUCCAUCCAUCUGCAAACCGCUUAGCCUGCACACAGGGUCGCGGGGGGGCUGGAGUCUAUCCCAGCCAACUUACACUCUAGGCUGGUCGCCAGCCAAUCGCAGGGCUAACAGAGACUUACAAUCAUUCACACUCACAUUCACGCACCUACAGGCAAUUUAGAGUUACCAAUCAACCUGAUCCCCAGGGCAUGUCUUUGGACUGCAGGAGGAACCCGGAGAGAACCCACGCAGACACGGGGAGAACAUGCAGACUCCACACAGAAAGGCCACUGGGCGGAGUUGAACCCAGGACCUUCUUGCUGUGAGGCACACCACACCACCGUGCCGCCCUCUAUUUUGUGAGUGGUUUGGGCUGACUGCAGCGUGGCUACCCGGACGACGGUUGGGCUGUUGACUGGGUCCCUCACUUGCUCCUCACAUUUUUCAGUUGUGUGUCAGUCAGUAUAUUCUCUUAUUUUAUUCAUUUUUUUGCUUUUGGUUUUUGAUUGAUAUUGUUUGGCGUGUGUGGAGAACUGGAGCCAGUGAGGGUCCUGUCCCAGGCCCGCUACAGCCCAGUUACCCAUAGAACCGGAGUUGUUUAGUAAAAGCUUUUUGUUAUCUUACUAAAUUCCCUGAGCUGACGGAGAUUGUUUUAAUACAUUGUUUUCAU